rnacentral:rRNA from 1 species
GUGCCAGCCGCCGCGGUAAUACCGGCAGCUCAAGUGAUGGCCGAUAUUAUUGGGCCUAAAGCGUCCGUAGCUGGCCGAACAAGUCCGUCGGGAAAUCCACGUGCUUAACGCGUGGGCGACCGGCGGAAACUGUCCGGCUUGGGGCCGGAGGACCCGAGGGGUACGUCCGGGGUAGGAGUGAAAUCCUGUAAUCCUGGACGGACCGCCGAUGGCGAAAGCACUUCGAGAAAACGGAUCCGACAGUGAGGGACGAAAGCCAGGGUCUCCAACCGGAUUAGAAACCCUGGUAGUCC